GAGGCACUAGCGCUCAGCCACGCAAGGCAGGAAAACAGAGGAAGUUUUCGCAUUCUGACUGCAGCCUGAGUUCCCCGGAGCAAGGCUGCUUCUCUCCACCCACUCCUCACCAAGAACUCCUGAACUUGAGAGUGGACGACUUCAAAGCUAGCUCUCACAGACUCACCUGGAAAAGAGUUCAGCUGCGCGUUCAUUGAACCGAGAGGCCAGAUCACCUAUGUGAGGCGGUGGGAACCAUAUGGAGAUUUAUAUUAGAACUUCAGCAAAGUGCACAGCUGCAGCCGGCAGAAGCCAGCUCUCGGGCUGACAGGCAAAUGAACCAGAUCGUGGACGGGGCCUCUGGGUGGCAGCUCCGGCCUUUUGGUUGUUGGACAACUAUAGUCAGAACUGAAAUGGAACAGGGGCAGGAGAAAUAACACACUUUUACUCCACGCAACUGUUGCUUUCACAUGAUCUUCAGGAAUGUAACUGGGAUAAUUGUCCAAAUUGAAUCCCAUACCCUGUCAUGGUACUGAUUAUUAAGGUGACUAUAUGAAAGGAUCACUCCAAAAUAACAGGAAUCUUGAGGAACCCAUUAAUGUAAAGCUGCGGCCAGAGUUCCAUGAGGAGGCAGAAUGUUCUAGAUGAUCCCUGUCUCUUCUCCAUUGAGGAAGUCGUUUCUUGCCUCUCUGUAAGCUCAGUUAAUCAUACCAGAAUAGGAGUCCUGUCUUAACUGAGCAAUAUACACUAUGGAGAGAUCCUUCAAAACCCGUCGGGACGAAUAACAGAUGAAUUCAUAAAACUGUUCAUCUCUGUUAUCCUGAAUGGUCACUCAGACAACAUUUUACUCAACUAUAAAGUAGUACCAAGCAUGAAUAUCUGGAAGUAUAAGAAGAAAGCUCCUUUCACAAUAGGCCAUUCCUUCAAAGGAAUUUUUCAAACAAUCUGACAAGGGAUAAUGAAGGUAUUAGAAGUGAACAAAUUCUAAGAUAAAUUCUGAAAUAUUAUAAUACAAAUUCAUACUUGCAUGAUGCUUUCUAACAGUAUGUUUGGGAAAAUAAAUUGUAUAGUAUAAGCUAAGCAAUAAACUUUUUUGAAAUGAAA
rnacentral:lncRNA from 1 species